rnacentral:rRNA from 1 species
CUACGGGUGGCUGCAGUGGGGAAUAUUGGGCAAUGGGCGCAAGCCUGACCCAGCAACGCCGCGUGAGGGAAGAAUGUCUUCGGAUUGUAAACCUCUGUCCCAUGGGACGAACAAAUGACGGUACCAUGGGAGGAAGCUCCGGCUAACUACGUGCCAGCAGCCGCGGUAAUACGUAGGGAGCGAGCGUUGUCCGGAAUUACUGGGCGUAAAGGGUGCGUAGGCGGCAUAAUAAGUCAGAUGUGAAAUACCCGGGCUCAACUCGGGGGGUGCAUUUGAAACUAUUAAGCUUGAGUACAGGAGAGGAAAGCGGAAUUCCUAGUGUAGCGGUGAAAUGCGUAGAUAUUAGGAGGAACACCAGUGGCGAAGGCGGCUUUCUGGACUGUCACUGACGCUGAGGCACGAAAGCGUGGGGAGCAAACAGGAUUAGAUACCCGGGUAGUC